rnacentral:rRNA from 1 species
CAGCCGCCGCGGUAAUACGUAGGGUGCAAGCGUUAAUCGGAUUUACUGGGCGUAAAGCGUGCGUAGGCGGCUUCUUAAGUCGGAUGUGAAAUCCCUGAGCUUAACUUAGGAAUUGCAUUCGAUACUGGGAAGCUAGAGUAUGGGAGAGGAUGGUAGAAUUCCAGGUGUAGCGGUGAAAUGCGUAGAGAUCUGGAGGAAUACCGAUGGCGAAGGCAGCCAUCUGGCCUAAUACUGACGCUGAGGUACGAAAGCAUGGGGAGCAAACAGGAUUAGAUACCCCAGUAGUCCCUGUCUCUUAUAC